CCCUUAGAUGUCCGGGGCCGCACGCGCGCUACACUGAAGGAAUCAGCGUGGCUUUCUCCCUGACCCGAAAGGGUUGGGAAACCCGUUGAAUCUCCUUCGUGAUAGGGAUUGGGGCUUGAAAUUGUUCCCCAUGAACGAGGAAUUCCCAGUAAGCGCGAGUCAUCAGCUCGCAUUGAUUACGUCCCUGCCCUUUGUACACACCGCCCGUCGCACCUACCGAUUGAAUGUUUCGGUGAAGAUUCCGGAUAGGACUUUUUUGAUUUAUUUCAAUUUUGUCUUAAAAGCUAUCUAAACCUCAACAUUUAGAGGAAGGUGAAGUCGUAACA
rnacentral:rRNA from 1 species